rnacentral:rRNA from 1 species
UACGUAGGGUGCAAGCGUUAAUCGGAAUUAUUGGGCGUAAAGCGUGCGCAGGCGGUUUUUGUAAGUCUGACGUGAAAGCCCCGGGCUUAACCUGGGAAUUGCGUUGGAGACUGCAAGGCUUGAAUCUGGCAGAGGGGGGUAGAAUUCCACGGUGUAGCAGUGAAAUGCGUAGAGAUGAUGGAGGAACACCGAUGGCGAAGGCAGCCCCUGGGUCAAGAUUGACGCUCAUGCACGAAAGCGUGGGGAGCAAACAGG